rnacentral:rRNA from 2 species
AUGGACGCAAGUCUGAUGGAGCAACGCCGCGUGAGUGAAGAAGGCUUUCGGGUCGUAAAACUCUGUUGUUGGAGAAGAAUGGUCGGCAGAGUAACUGUUGUCGGCGUGACGGUAUCCAACCAGAAAGCCACGGCUAACUACGUGCCAGCAGCCGCGGUAAUACGUAGGUGGCAAGCGUUAUCCGGAUUUAUUGGGCGUAAAGCGAGCGCAGGCGGUUUCUUAAGUCUGAUGUGAAAGCCCUCGGCUUAACCGAGGAAGCGCAUCGGAAACUGGGAAACUUGAGUGCAGAAGAGGACAGUGGAACUCCAUGUGUAGCGGUGAAAUGCGUAGAUAUAUGGAAGAACACCAGUGGCGAAGGCGGCUGUCUGGUCUGUAACUGACGCUGAGGCUCGAAAGCAUGGGUAGCGAACAGGAUUAGAUACCCCGGUAGUCCAUGCCGUAAACGAUGAAUGCUAGGUGUUGGAGGGUUUCCGCCCUUCAGUGCCGCAGCUAACGCAUUAAGCAUUCCGCCUGGGGAGUACGACCGCAAGGUUGAAACUCAAAGGAAUUGACGGGGGCCCGCACAAGCGGUGGAGCAUGUGGUUUAAUUCGAAGCAACGCGAAGAACCUACCAGGUCUUGACAUCUUUUGAUCACCUGAGAGAU